rnacentral:rRNA from 1 species
UUGGAGGGCAAGUCUGGUGCCAGCAGCCGCGGUAAUUCCAGCUCCAAUAGCGUAUAUUAAAGUUGUUGUUGUUAAAAAGCUCGUAGUUGAAUUUCGGGGUUAAUAGGUUGGUCAUGCCACUGGUAUGUACUGGUCUCACUGAUUCCUCCUUCCUGAUGAACUGUAAUGCCAUUAAUUUGGUGUUGCAGGGAAUCUGGACUGUUACUUUGAAAAAAUUAGAGUGUUUAAAGCAGGCUAACGCCUGAAUACAUUAGCAUGGAAUAAUGAAAUAGGACGUUCGAUCCUAUUUUGUUGGUUUCUAGGAUUGACGUAAUGAUUAAUAGGGAUAGUUGGGGGCAUUAGUAUUCAAUUGUCAGAGGUGAAAUUCUUGGAUUUAUUGAAGACUAACUACUGCGAAAGCAUUUGCCAAGGAUGUUUUCAUUAAUCAAGAACGAAAGUUAGGGGAUCGAAGACGAUCAGAUACCGUCGUAGUCUUAACCAUAAACUAUGCCGACUAGGGAUCGGAUGAUGUUAAUUUUUUAAUGACUCAUUCGGCGCCUUACGGGAAAC